rnacentral:rRNA from 1 species
GAUGAACGCUAGCGGCAGGCUUAAUACAUGCAAGUCGUGGGGCAGCAUGAGUGUAGCAAUACAUUUGAUGGCGACCGGCAAACGGGUGCGGAACACGUACACAACCUUCCUUUAAGUGGGGAAUAGCCCAGGGAAACUUGGAUUAAUACCCCGUAACAUUAUGAGAUGGCAUCAUUUUAUAAUUAUAGCUACGGCGCUUAAUGAUGGGUGUGCGGCUGAUUAGGUAGUUGGCGGGGUAACGGCCCACCAAGCCUUCGAUCAGUAACUGGU